rnacentral:rRNA from 1 species
AGUGAACGCUGGCGGUAGGCCUAACGCAUGCAAGUCGAACGGCAGCACAGUAAGAGCUUGCUCUUACGGGUGGCGAGUGGCGGGCGGGUGAGGAAUACAUCGGACUCUACUUUUUCGUGGGGGAUAACGUAGGGAAACUUACGCUAAUACCGCAUACGACCUACGGGUGAAAGCAGGGGAUCUUCGCACCUUGCGCGAUUGAAUGAGCCGAUGUCGGAUUAGCUAGUUGGCGGGGUAAAGGCCCACCUAGGCGACGAUCCGUAGCUGGUCUGAGAGGAUGAUCAGCCACACUGGAACUGAGACACGGUCCAGACUCCUACGGGAGGCAGCAGUGGGGAAUAUUGGACAAUGGGCGCAAGCCUGAUGCAGCCAUGCCGCGUGGGUGAAGAAGGCCUUCGGGUUGUAAAGUACUUUUGGUGGGAAAGAAAAGCAGAAGGUUAAUACCUCGCUGUUUUGACGUUACCCAAAGAAUAAGCACCGGCUAACUUCGUG